rnacentral:rRNA from 1 species
AUGAGCCACGAUGCAAUGCAACCACCCAAAACACACAUAUUGCAUUCGAAGAAUGUUGGUGCUGCCAAGGGAAGAAAUGACAUUGCCCAUUGUUUUUUUUUAGAUACCUUAAUUUUUUCUUGGUGGUGGAGUGAUCGCGGGUCUGCUUUCGGAUCUGGAUGCAGUUGGGUUAGCGACCUCAGGGCGCAGGUCAACACGAUGGUGCUGAGCACGGGUGGGAAUGGCGAGAUGCGCUGCGGCCUGCGGCCCGGCAAUGAGCAGUCUGCUCUCUCUCUCUCUCUCUCUCUCUCUCUCUCUCUCUCUCGGAUCGGAUGCAGCAGCAACAUUUGGCCGACCACCUCGUCUGCGUUCGGCCUCAACGGCGAGCUCAAGGCUGGCCACCUUGCGAUGUCGGCAGAACACGCGCCAUCGACGAGCAGAAGCUGGGCGUCCAUGAGCGACCGACCCACAGGCGGUUGUGGAAAAGCGCAGACAGCACAUGCACAUGCGACGCGAGGUGGUCGUGGGUCCGGCUCCAGAUCGAGGCGUCCGCCCCUCCCGCCUCCGACGAGGCGACGACGAACCGGGAGCAGCUCUUCGCCACCGCCUAGGCCUCGCACGCAACUCCAGCCUGCGCGUGGGAGCUUCAGGAACUCGGGUUAUGUGUGUCGUCGGCGCGAGCCCGGAUGCCAUGGGCGGAGGCCCCCAGCAGCAAGUCCCCGUCUACAUCCACCCUGCCCUGCCGUCUUCAUUGACCGCACCACGGCGUCUCGCGAGUCAGACACUAAGCCAGUGGUGGCGCGGACAUGGCGUUGGCAACCUCCAACAACAGGAUGCCCGGCUGCCCGCCCUUCGCGCCCGAGUGCAGAGUCGCCAUGGAGAGGACCUUGUGCAGCAGCGGUUCGAGCUCGGCGCGGCAACGAUGGUCAUGGCUCUGCUGCGGCGGCGGCGGCGGCGGCGCGCUCUUGGCCACCAACGAGGGGUGGCCACCCUUGA